GAUGAACGCUGGCGGCGUGCCUAAUACAUGCAAGUCGAGCGAACAGACGAGGAUCUUGCUCCUCUGACGUUAGCGGCGGACGGGUGAGUAACACGUGGAUCCCCUCCCUAUAUGUCUGGUAUAAUCUCGGGAAACCGGAUCUAAUACCGUAUAAUAUAUUGAACCGCAUGGUUCAAUAGUGAAAUACGGCUUUUCUGUCUCUUAUAGCUGGUUCCGGGCUGCUUGAGCUAGUUGGUAAGGUAACGGCUUACCACGGCGACGAUGCGUAGCCGACGUGACGGGGGGAUAGGCCACACGGGAGCUGAGACACGGUCCAGACUCCUACGGGAGGGACCAGUAGGGAAUGUGCCGCAGUGGGCGAAAACAUGGCGGAGCAAGGCGGCGUGAGAGAUGGAGGUGUUGGGAUCGUAAAGAUGUGUUAUGAGGGGAGAACAAAUGUGUAAGUAACUAUGCACGUCGUGACGGUACCUAAUCAAAAAGCACCGGCUAACUACGUG
rnacentral:rRNA from 1 species